rnacentral:rRNA from 1 species
GACGAACGCUGGCGGCGUGCUUAACACAUGCAAGUCGAACGGAAAGGCCCUGCUUUUGUGGGGUGCUCGAGUGGCGAACGGGUGAGUAACACGUGAGUAACCUGCCCUUGACUUUGGGAUAACUUCAGGAAACUGGGGCUAAUACCGGAUAGGAGCUCCUGCUGCAUGGUGGGGGUUGGAAAGUUUCGGCGGUUGGGGAUGGACUCGCGGCUUAUCAGCUUGUUGGUGGGGUAGUGGCUUACCAAGGCUUUGACGGGUAGCCGGCCUGAGGGGGUGACCGGCCACAUUGGGACUGAGAUACGGCCCAGACUCCUACGGGAGGCAGCAGUGGGGAAUAUUGCACAAUGGGCGGAAGCCUGAUGCAGCAACGCCGCGUGCGGGAUGACGGCCUUCGGGUUGUAAACCGCUUUCGCCUGUGACGAAGCGUGUGUGACGGUAAUGGGUAAAGAAGCACCGGCUAACUACGUG